rnacentral:rRNA from 1 species
AAAAGCUACUAAGAGCACACGGAGGAUGCCUUGGUACAUGGAGGCGAUGAAGGACGUGGUAAGCUGCGAUAAGCUUCGGGUAGGUGCACACAACUGCUAAUCCGGAGAUUUCCGAAUGGGGCAACCCGUUUUGAGUUAUAUCAAAACACUUUCAUCUGAAUAUAUAGGAUGAAAAGAGCUAACGAGGUGAACUGAUACAUCUAAGUAACCUUAGGAAUAGAAAACAAAAGUGAUUCCCCUAGUAGUGGCGAACGAAAAGGGAAGAGCCCAAACUAAUGCUGUGUCAAGUCUGCAAAUUUUGCAGUAUUAGGGUUGUGGGGUUAUUAUUAAUCCAAUUGCAGUUGGAUUGACAAGUCAAAAAAUAAAAUGUUAACAAAAUAAUUUGGAAAGAUUAACCAUAGAAGGUGAUAGUCCUGUAUGUGAAAACAUUUUAUCUUGUCUUAAUAAUUCCCGAGUAGGACGGAACACGUGAAAUUCUGUUUGAAUCUACCAAGACCACUUGGUAAGGCUAAAUACUCCCAUGUAACCGAUAGUGAACUAGUACCGUGAGGGAAAGGUGAAAAGUAAUCCGAGAGGAUAGUGAAAUAGAACCUGAAACUGUGUGUUUACAAGCGGUCAGAGUUCAGCUUGCUGAACGAUGGCGUGCCUUUUGCAUAAUGAGCCAGCGAGUUAGUCGUAUGCUGCUAGGUUAAGUAUUGUUAAAUACGGAGCCGAAGGGAAACCGAGUCUGAACAGGGCGAUUUAGUAUCAUGCGCUAGACCCGAAACCGGGUGAUCUAUCCAUGGCCAGGUUGAAAUUUAAGUAACAUUAAAUGGAGGACCGAACCCACUAAAGUUGAAAAUUUAGGGGAUGAGCUGUGGAUCGGAGUGAAAGGCUAAUCAAACUCGGAGAUAUCUGGUUCUCGUCGAAAUGUCUUUAGGGACAGCGUUAAAGUAGUGUACCGGGGGUAGAGCACUGGAUGGACUAGGGGGCCUACAAGCUUACCAAACCCAACUAAACUCCGAAUACCGGAUACAUGAUCUUUAGCAGUGAGGCUAGGGGGGAUAAGCUUCUUAGCCGAGAGGGAAACAACCCAGACCAACAUCUAAGGUCCCAAAAUCUAUACUAAGUGAUUUAAGGAUGUCAAAUCGCCCAGACAGCUAGGAGGUUGGCUUAGAAGCAGCAAUCCUUUAAAGAAAGCGUAAUAGCUCACUAGUCAAGGGGUUUGGCGCCGAUAAUAACCGGGACUGAAAAGUAUAGUACCGAAGAUUUGGAUUUAGUAAUAAAUGGUAGACGAGCGUUCUAUUAACCGCUGAAGGUUGAUUCGUGAGAACAGCUGGAGGAAAUAGAAGUGAGUAUGCUGGCAUGAGUAGCGAUAAACACAGUGAAAUUCUGUGUCACCGAAAACCCAAGGUUUCCUGAGUAAAGCAAAUCUGCUCAGGGUUAGUCGGACCCUAAGCCGAGGCCGAAUGGCGUAGGCGAUGGAAAACGGGCUUAAUAUUCCCGUACCAGUAUAUAUUUGUUUGAACUAUGGGGUAACGGAGAAAUGAAAGAUCAGCCAGGUUUUGAUUGUCCUGGUUUAAGUACGUAGGAAGUUUCAAUUGGUAAAUCCGUUGAAACAAUUCUGAAAUACGAAUAGGAGGGCCUAGCCCACAAACUGAUCCUAAUUAUGCUUCCAAGAAAAACCUCUAUGUUAGAAUAUAAGCUGACCGUACUGUAAACGGACACACGUGGGUGAGGAGAGUAUCCUAAGGUGCUUGAGUGAUUCUAGGUUAAGGAACUAGGCAAAUUGGCCCCGUAACUUCGGGAGAAGGGGUGCCUUUCUUUGAAAGGCCGCAGUGAAAAGGCGCGAGCGACUGUUUAGCAAAAACACAGGUCUCUGCUAAGUCAUAAGACGAAAUAUAGGGACUGACACCUGCCCGGUGCCGGAAGGUUAAAUGGAGAUGUCAAUCUGCUUCGGCGGAUGAAGCUUUGAAAUGAAGCCCCGGUAAACGGCGGCCGUAACUAUAACGGUCCUAAGGUAGCGAAAUUCCUUGUCGGGUAAGUUCCGACCUGCACGAAUGGUGUAACGACUUGCGCACUGUCUCAACCUAGAGCUCAGCGAAAUUGAAGUGUCGGUGAAGAUGCCGGCUACCCGCAGCAGGACGAAAAGACCCCGUGAACCUUUACUACAACUUAGUAUUGGAUUCUGGUUCUAUUUGUGUAGGAUAGGUGGGAGGCUUUGAAGCUCAGGCGCUAGUUUGAGUGGAGCCAUCCUUGAAACACCACCCUUGUAUUGCUAGAAUUCUAAUCUUAUUCCGUGAAUCCGGAAGAGAGACAUUGCUAGGUGGGUAGUUUGACUGGGGCGGUCUCCUCCUAAAGAGUAACGGAGGAGCACGAAGG